GCCGAUGUGGCUCAGUGGUAGAGCAGCUGAUUCGUAAUCAGCAGGACACGGGUUCAAAUCCCGUCAUCGGCU
rnacentral:tRNA from 1 species